rnacentral:rRNA from 1 species
AUGAGCAAGAUGAACACCACUCCACCAAAGAAGCCACCCACUGGUCCAUUGAGCCCGUGUACACCUCCAAGAAUGACGACCACAAGGGGGAAACGACACCAGAGCGCCGCCGUCAUCCGAUCUACAGAUUUAGGGUUUCCCCCGGAGGUAGCAGAUAGAGGUCUUGAGUUUCUCCACGGCGAUCCCUUCAAAAAACAACACAAAAGAGUGUCAUCAUCGCCGGUCUUGGCAACAAGCCGAGAACAAGAUUUUCAACCGGAUCCGCUCGAUGAACCUCCGUCUCGCAUCGUGCGCAUGGACCACCAAGAAUCUCUGCCACCAUGA